rnacentral:rRNA from 1 species
GUCGAGCGGUAGAAGUAGCUUGCUACUUUUGAGAGCGGCGGACGGGUGCAGUAAUGCGUGGGAAUCUACCUGGUAGUGGGGGACAACAGUUGGAAACGACUGCUAAUACCGCAUACGCCCUACGGGGGAAAGCGGGGGAUCUUCGGACCUCGUGCUAUCAGAUGAGCCCGCGUGAGAUUAGCUUGUUGGUGGGGUAAUGGCCUACCAAGGCGACGAUCUCUAGCUGGUCUGAGAGGAUGAUCAGCCACACUGGGACUGAGACACGGCCCAGACUCCUACGGGAGGCAGCAGUGGGGAAUAUUGGACAAUGGGCGAAAGCCUGAUCCAGCAAUGCCGCGUGAGUGAUGAAGGUCUUCGGAUUGUAAAGCUCUUUCGACGGGGAAGAUAAUGACGGUACCCGUAGAAGAAGCCCCGGCUAACUUCGUGCCAGCAGCCGCGGUAAUACGAAGGGGGCUAGCGUUGUUCGGAUUUACUGGGCGUAAAGCGUGCGUAGGCGGCUUGUCAAGUCAGAAGUGAAAGCCCGGGGCUCAACUCCGGAACUGCUUUUGAGACUGGCAGGCUUGAGUUCGGGAGAGGGUAGUGGAAUUCCCAGUGUAGAGGUGAAAUUCGUAGAUAUUGG